rnacentral:sRNA from 2 species
UUUUAGCCCGGAUUGAAACGGCAUCCUUUUUAGAGGAGGAACGACGAAAAAAAGAUAUAGUGGAAAGCCGGUGGAGAU